rnacentral:rRNA from 1 species
UGGGGAAUUUUGGACAAUGGGCGCAAGCUUGAUCUUGCCAUGCGGCGGGUUUGAAGAAGGCUUCGGGNUGUAAAGGACUUUUGUCAGGGAAGAAAAGCCGGNUUAAUACCCCUGUCUGAUGACGGUACCUGAAGAAUAAGCACCGGCUAACUACGUGCCAGCAGCCGUCGAUUUACGUAGGGUGCGGGCGUUAAUCGGAAUUACUGGGCGUAAAGUUGACGGGACAAUUACUUAAGCUGGAUUGGAAAUCCCGGGGCUCAACCUGGGAACUGCGUUCUGAACUGGGUGACUAGAGUGUGUCAAAGGGAGGUAGAAUCCCACGNGUAGCAGUCAAAUGCGAAAAGAUGUGGAGAAAUACCGAUGGCGAAGGAAGCCUCCUGGAAAAACACUGACGUUCAUGCCCGAAAGCGGGGGUGGCAAACGGGAUUGGAUACCCUGGUAGUCCACGCCCUAAACGAUGUCGAUAAGCUGUUGGCCNGCAUGACUGCUUAGAAGCGAAGNUAACGCGNGAAAUCAACCCCCUUGGGGAGNACGNNCGCANGAUU